rnacentral:lncRNA from 1 species
AAAAAAAGAAAUAGAUAUGCUAAUGUAGAACAAAUUGGAACAAUUCCUAUGGUCUUUGUUUCACAGCUUUGUUCUAUAGAAAAGAACAAAUAAACACGUUAUUGAAAUUGUAUAUUUUUGUAAUAAAAUGAUAUUGGCAACAUGAACUUAUAGGGUUAAUUGGCAACCUAGUCAUCGAUCUUAUGAGGAGCAAUGGGACAACAUUGAGAAAUAUAUAAAAAAGAUUAUGUCCAAUUUCAAUUGAUCUUAAUUAGAAUGAUCACACACUAAUGAUAAGAAAGGGGAGAAGAUGAUGUUUGAGCAACAUAUGUGCAUGGAAAUGUUAAAGCCUUGUUUGGAUGGAGAGAAGUAGAGAGAAAAAGAGGAGAGAAGGUGACAAUCCCAUUUUUGGUAGAGAUAAGAGGAGAAAGUUUCACUGGUUAGGUAUUCACCAAGGAGAUAAAAGAAGAGAGUUAAAAUCCCAUCCUUGGAUAGUCCAUUUCUAAAUCCACAUUUUUAAUCUCUUUGAAAGUGGAGAGAUUUGAAAAGAAGGGAAAUUCCACUUCACUUGCAGUCAAAGUUGUUUUUUGUUCCUUUCUCUUUUUAUCAGAUCCGUAAUUCCCAUCUCUUCCUUUUUUCUCUCUUGCUUCCCUACAUUUAUUUUCUCUCCUCCCCUAUUUAUCCAGACAGGGUCCUAUGAUGCGUAGCUGGUAGUAAAAUUUUAGCGAAUAUAUUGCUUGAGGUGCUAAACAUGCAAGAGAAAGAGCAAGCAGAAUGACUACUAGUCCAGUUUUGCAAAACUCUAUAGACUCUAUUUACCUAUCAACUAGAUUUAUAACAAAUAAGCGAAAACCCAAGACAUGAAGCAUGAGAACCAGU